rnacentral:misc_RNA from 1 species
UACGUAGGUGGCAAGCGUUGGCCGGAAUUAUUGGGCGUAAAGCGCGCGCAGGCGGUUUCUUAAGUCUGAUGUGAAAGCCCACGGCGCAACCGUGGAGGGUCAUUGGAAAGUGGGAAACUUGAGUACAGAAGAGGAGAGUGGAAGUCCACGUGUAGCGGUGAAAUGCGUAGAUAUGUGGAGGAACACCAGUGGCGCAGGCGACUCUCUGGUCUGUAACUGACGCUGAGGCGCGAAAGCGUGGGGAGCGAACAGG